rnacentral:rRNA from 1 species
UACGUAGGGCGCAAGCGUUUGUCCGGAAUUAUUGGGCGUAAAGAGCUCGUAGGCGGUUUGUCGCGUCUGCUGUGAAAUCCCGAGGCUCAACCUCGGGCUUGCAGUGGGUACGGGCAGACUAGAGUGCGGUAGGGGAGACUGGAAUUCCCGGUGUAGCGGUGAAAUGCGCAGAUAUCGGGAAGAACACCCGUGGCGAAGGCGGCUCUCUGGGACGGUACUGACGCUGAGGUGCGAAAGCGUGGGGAGCAAACAGG